GAUGAACGCUAGCUACAGGCUUAACACAUGCAAGUCGAGGGGCAGCGGGAUUGAAGCUUGCUUCAAUUGCCGGCGACCGGCGCACGGGUGAGUAGCGCGUAUCCAACCUUCCGUACACUCAGGGAUAGCCUUUCGAAAGAAAGAUUAAUACCUGAUGGUAUCUUAAGCACACAUGUAAUUAAGAUUAAAGAUUUAUCGGUGUACGAUGGGGAUGCGUUCCAUUAGGUAGUAGGCGGGGUAACGGCCCACCUAGCCAACGAUGGAUAGGGGUUCUGAGAGGAAGGUCCCCCACAUUGGAACUGAGACACGGUCCAAACUCCUACGGGAGGCAGCAGUGAGGAAUAUUGGUCAAAUGGACGAGAGUCUGAACCAGCC
rnacentral:rRNA from 1 species